UUAACCAAUUUUGUUUAAAAAAUAACCAUAUUUUGAUUUGUGCCUUAAAACUGUCAAUAUGGUUACUUUUUAACGAUUUUUACAGUGGAAUUUUAACCACCAAUGAAGUUCUCAUGCAAAAAAACAAAUGUGGUUAAAAACAUAACAUCAAAAUAAAUUGUUAUUCAGACGCCAUUUUAACUGCAAGCGUCUUUAUGAGGGAAGAAAAAAAAUUAAUUCAUAUUCAUCGGUAAAUGGAAAAUAAACGACGACCUGACCCGGAUAACCUGGCCUUGAUGAUAAGGUUUCCAUCCAGCUUUACGGGCGGUCGAAGUUUUAGUGCCGGGGAAAGUAUAGAACCCGUGCAGAUGGACAGUAAUCGUGACGAUGGGCAUUGCUGGCUGUCCCAGGGAAGCUCUGACUGCCUACCGAAAAAGAACGAAGUGCUUAUUAAAAAUGAAUCCUCUCACUGUCCGGGUCCUGAUUUCAAACCGAGCUCGAGAUGGAAGCGGCUGCUACCCUUUGAAAGCUUGUCAGAUUAUUAUUAUUGCAUCCUUUUUUCGGAUCUGCUUAUCCGGCUUCUAUUGAAACGCCAAAAAUAACAACAAGCUAGGAACAAAUUUCGAUUAAUUUAACGCACUACUCCAACAGACAAAAAAGAGCGACUGAAAUUAACCCAUGAUUCCCUUAAUCAGUAAGAAGGUUCUGCUGCAAAUGCAACAACACUUUCAGCCAGCGCAGUUUCUCGUAAAAGCAUCCUGUCAGCGAGCAGCAGACUAGUGAAGUACUAGCAAUCACUUACCCAGGAUGUGCAGGCUGCACAAUAUGCGGUGGUGGCCAUCUUCCAUGGCAGUUGCUUCAUGCUGCCCCCGAUAUGCCAGAUAAGAAGGAAGACGACAUGGACGACGAAGAGCCACCAAAACCGAUGGCCAAAUGUUAACCGAUCGACGGUCGGGUAACGAAGCAAUGCGUGGACCAGUCUUACCCGAAGAAAUUAUUCGAACGAACUGUUUCCAAACCUCCCAUUCGCUGUUCCCGUCAAGAACGAGAAAUUCUACCCAGAGGCUGGUCAGUAAACUGCUGGCGAUACUCUUUUAAUUAUCGUUCGGACAAAUCAGACUGCAAACAGAUUAUUGAAUGGUUGGUUGUCCUCAAGGAAGGUCAUCUUAUCUUAGCAAAACACAACCUAACGAUGU